rnacentral:rRNA from 1 species
UACGAAGGGGGCUAGCGUUGCUCGGAAUCACUGGGCGUAAAGGGUGCGUAGGCGGGUCUUUAAGUCAGGGGUGAAAUCCUGGAGCUCAACUCCAGAACUGCCUUUGAUACUGAGGAUCUUGAGUUCGGGAGAGGUGAGUGGAACUGCGAGUGUAGAGGUGAAAUUCGUAGAUAUUGGGAAGAACACCGAUGGCGAAGGCGGCUCACUGGCUCAUUACUGACGCUCAGGCGCGACAGCGUGGGGAUCAAACAGG